rnacentral:rRNA from 1 species
GACGAACGCUGGCGGCGUGCUUAACACAUGCAAGUCGAGCGGUAAGGCCCUUUCGGGGGUACACGAGCGGCGAACGGGUGAGUAACACGUGGGUGACCUGCCCUCAGCUCUGGGAUAAGCCCGGGAAACUGGGUCUAAUACCGGAUAUGACUCCAUGACGCAUGUUGUGGGGUGGAAAGCCUUGUGCGGCUGAGGAUGGGCCCGCGGCUAUCAGCUUGUUGGUGGGGUGAUGGCCACCAAGGCGACGACGGGUAGCCGGCCUGAGAGGGCGACCGGCC